CCCUUGAGACACCCAAAAUCCCCUCCACUUCCCCCCGCUCCCGGCGGCGCUGCUCCGGCGCCGGCGACACCGCCCGUCCGCCCGCCGGCGACCUGCCACCAUGCCGAGGCCGGCGAAAAUCAGGAAAAAAUAUGAGAAUGUGUUUGAUCAACUGAUCAAGGCGAUAAAAGCACCUGUGGACUUUGAUCUGCCAUCUGCGUUGAAAGAAUGGAAGUCAGGCUAUUACGUGCCAAUUAAACGGAAUGUCUACCUUACUAGAAAACGCAUUGAGGAUGAUGGCAUUUUUUGUUCUUGUACCCCUUCUUCUGGAUCAUCGGUAACUUGUGACAAAGAUUGCCAGUGCGGAAUGUUGUUUUCUUGUUGUUCGUCAACCUGUAAAUGUGAGAAUAAAUGUGCUAACAAAUCAUUCCAGCAUAGGACUUUGAGGAAAACCAAAUUAAUUAAGACAGAGAAAUGUGGCUUUGGGGUGAUAGCUCAGGAAGAUAUAAAAAAGGGAGAAUUUGUAAUAGAAUAUAUCGGAGAAGUUAUCGAUGACAGAGCAUGUGAGCAGAGACUAUGGAAAAUGAAGAGGCAGGGGGACACUAACUUCUAUCUUUGUGAGGUCAGUAGUAAUAUGGUCAUUGAUGCGACUGAAAAAGGAAACAUGUCCCGCUUCAUAAAUCAUAGCUGUGAGCCAAACACAGAGAUGCAGAAAUGGACUGUCGAGGGAGAGACCAGAGUUGGAAUUUUUGCUCUUCGUAACAUAAAAAUGGGGGAGGAGCUCACUUAUGAUUACAAGUUUGUCCAAUUUGGAGCCAAUCAAGAUUGUCACUGUGGAUCUUCAAACUGCCGAAAAAUGCUCGGCAUCACAAAGCCGGUUAACUCAAUUGUACUUCAUAAUGGAAAUUUGUCGCAAGAUCAGCAUGUCCGGAAGAAAAGAAAGACAUAUUUUGAGAAUUGUAUUGGGGAGAUUGUCCGUUUGUGGCAUCGGCGGCACAACAUGUAUCUUGCAGCAAGCAUAUAUGACUUCAAUGAGCGGAAUGGAAUACAUACAUUGUUGUUUACUGAUGCAACUAUUGAAGAAUUUGAUUUGAGAGAGGAGAACUGGGACUUCUUACCGGAUCCAGACGAGCCUGACAAAGUGUGAGUGAUCUGAAGAUUCACAUUUGUCAAGGUUUUCGUGGUUUUUGCGGUAUCCACGCGGAAUCCACGGGUGUGCGGUGCCGCGGUUUUCGCAAGUUGCACGCUUCAUACCAUCGAUUGCAUCGCAACAGAACAAUCAGAUUCGCUGCUGUUCGGAUAUAUAUCAUGUCGAAGUGCUUAACUGCAGCCAUCCACCCUCACAUCAGUUCUUCAGCCUGCACUCUGUCCUAAACUGUAAAAAAAAAAACUUUUCUCCAAUGGUUGAAUUUUCUUUUGGAUUUUCAUCGAUUUCGCAUGCAUCUUGUGAUGCUUAUAAAAAACUAUAUGCUGAGUGAGCUUGCAAACGUUGUUUAAUCCUGCCAUAGUUGAAUUGAUGAGCUUAUUUAGCUGUGCUGUACCAUUUGCACUCAUGCUUGAACUAAGCGCUACUUGUAACGAGGACACAGAACUGAGCUGGGGACUUGACUUUGGAAAAUGUAGAUACUAAGAUGGUGCUAAUUGUCGAAACAAGUGGCAUGUACUCCGGCUAAUGCUAUGCCUUGUAUUAGUUCGCAUCAUGUGUCAUAAUCUGACGCAAUAUCAAGACGUGUAUACUCCA